AGCGGAGGAAAAGAAACCAACAGGGAUUGCCCUAGUAACGGCGAGUGAAGCGGCAACAGCUCAAAUUUGAAAUCUGGCCCUCGCGGUCCGAGUUGUAAUUUGUAGAGGAUGCUUUGGGCGCGGCGCCUUCCAAGUUCCCUAGAACGGGACGCCUUAGAGGGUGAGAGCCCCGUACGGUUGGACGCCUAGCCUAUGUAUAGCUCCUUCGACGAGUCGAGUAGUUUGGGAAUGCUGCUCUAAAUGGGAGGUAAAUUUCUUCUAAAGCUAAAUACCGGCCAGAGACCGAUAGCGCACAAGUAGAGUGAUCGAAAGAUGAAAAGUACUUUGAAAAGAGGGUUAAAUAGCACGUGAAAUUGUUGAAAGGGAAGCGUUUGCGACCAGACCUUUUCCAGGCGGAUCAUCCGGCGUUCUCGCCGGUGCACUUCGCCUGGUUUAGGCCAGCAUCGGUUUUCCCAGGGGGAUAAAGGCGGCGGGAACGUAGCUCUCUCGGGAGUGUUAUAGCCCGCCGCGUAAUACCCUUGGGGGGACCGAGGACCGCGCUUCGGCAAGGAUGCUGGCGUAAUGGUCGUCAACGACCCGUCUUGAAACACGGACCAAGGAGUCGAACAUUUGUGCGAGUGUUUGGGUGUCAAACCCUCACGCGUAAUGAAAGUGAACGGAGGUGAGAGCCCCUCGCGGGUGCAUCAUCGACCGAUCCUGAUGUCUUCGGAUGGAUUUGAGUAAGAGCAUAACUGUUCGGACCCGAAAGAUGGUGAACUAUGCGUGGAUAGGGUGAAGCCAGAGGAAACUCUGGUGGAGGCUCGCAGCGGUUCUGACGUGCAAAUCGAUCGUCAAAUCUGCGCAUGGGGGCGAAAGACUUAUCGAACCAUCUAGUAG
rnacentral:rRNA from 1 species